GGCUCUUCCCCCUCCCUCCAACCUGAGCCCCUCAUCCCAUGGAGGACCCUCCCUUCACUCCACUCACUUAGAGGCUGUUCUCACGUUGAUAUCCAAGUCACCCUUGAACACAAACUGACCAGGUUUCCAAUGAAAAGACAGGUGGCUCCACUCCCAGUGCAUAUUUUCAGUUGUGUUGUAUGGAUCCUAUGACCACCCCCGAGAAUUUGGUGAGAUAUAGAAGGGUCUCAGCUCACCUCCCAUUUCACCCAUCACAAACGUCCCUCAGCCAAACCAACUGCCUCAUCUCUACUCACAGUGAAAGUCAUGGUAGAAUUUGAGUGGGGGCAUGUUCCUCUCCACUGCCACGUUACCCCACGGAAGCCCCAAGUGCAAGAUCUGACGCCGACGGGAGCAAGGCUGACCACUCUGCUCGGUGCCCACAAGUCGACCCAUUAGCCGCCAGUCACGGAUCUCAAACAGCCUCAUCUAGAGUUCGAGAAAAGUCAUACUGAUAAGGAAACUCCACCGAGACUGAGCCGAAAGAGAGGAGCCAAACACGGUUCCGGAGGGUCUGCAGCGCAGGGAAGGGGUUCCGGUGGAGGAUCAUCUCUUCCAGCUCAGGUAGCAGCUGCACCUCCACCUCCUUGAAGUUGAAGAUACUAUUGCCAUCAAAGCCAGCAGCCAGCUCUGGACAGUAUGCCUGCAGGGAACCUCCAUGCCGGCUCAGUGACACACUCUCUGCAGCCAGGGUAAUGAACUUGUCCUCAGCUACAAAAGCUGUGAGCUUGGCUGUGCUCACCUCCAGGGUUAGGUUUAGCAGCCGCUUUGGGGGUAAUGGCUCAGGGGCACGGCCUUCUAGCUCAGAAGUAGUUCCUGAAGUCUCUAGUGCAAGGGAUGGUACAGUCUCAGGAAACACAGUGGCUCUUAGUAGGUCUCGGCACUGUAGAGUGGCCAGGACAUGCUGGUACAGGUACAUGUGAUCUGGGGGGCUCCAAAGUAAGGUCAGCCCUGCACCACACUGAACCUUUAGGGAGCAGAAGAAAAGGAUCUGUCAAUUACCAUGUCACAAAACAGUAGAGAUGGCAAGGAUUAUGACACAUGCACACCUGGCUCAAGAACCAUCUCCACCCAGAAGUUGUUCCUGAGUAAUCACAUUAAUUACUGCCUUGCUUUGUUCCUGUUAGCACUAAUGUGCUGAGCUGACAGUUGAUAGUGUCUGACAUUUAAGAGCACUUAUACUUUUUAAGUUCUCUUCAACUGGAUUCUAAAUUGUCUGAAAAUAGGGGCCAUGUGUCUUAAUUCUUUGGUAUCUACCAUAGUAUACUCAGUAUAGACAGCAGGUACUCAAUAAAUCAUCUGGCUUCA
rnacentral:lncRNA from 1 species